GGAGAGAUUGGCUAUGUCAAGGAGGAGGCCAGGGUGUACCAUGCUUGCUUAAUGGAGUGAUGAGUUGGCAAUGUGAAGGAAAGUGUGUGUUUGGGAUGAGCAGAAGGGGAGAAGGAGCCUGUCUGAGAAUAACAGCUUGCUCUGAAAACCCAACAGCAUCGGGUACUCACUUUGUCUGGCUUCUUCCUCGAAUGUCGUGGGUACCACCAUGGGACAGCACGGCAGUGACGGGUGCGUGCCCCGGGCUCUGUUGCUGCACAUCUGCACACCCGGCUGCACUUCAGCACCGCGACUCUCGUGGGAGCAUCACCCACAUCACCCAGCAACAAAACUGCUGAGAAAACCCCCUUGCUUGCUUGGCCAAGGCAUUUUACUCUAAUCCCUUAUUGCCUUUGGCCUCCAGCCUCCAUUAGAUCAAGAAGCCACACCGGGAUGGAAGUACCUCAGGUGUCACGUCCACUGUGCAUCGCCGCUCUGCUCCGAGUCGGGGCUCUGUGGGUGCUCCUGCCCUGGCCUCACCUACCAGAAAAUGGAGUCCAGUUGGGAAAAUCCCCCAAAUCCGCACUCAGAAGAGACUUGGCAGAAUUAGAACCAAAAAUAAAGGAAGCUUUGGUUUAAAAAAUGAAUAAAUAAAUAAAUCACUUUGCCCCCACGCAGCUGAACUUA